UACGUAGGGGGCAAGCGUUGUCCGGAUUUAUUGGGCGUAAAGAGCUCGUAGGCGGUUUGGUAAGUCUGGUGUGAAAUCUCCACGCUCAACGUGGAGGGGCCACCCGAUACUGCCAUGACUGGAGUCCGGUAGAGGAGUGUGGAAUUCCCGGUGUAGCGGUGAAAUGCGUAGAUAUCGUAAGGAAGACCAGUGGCGAAGGCGGGUCUCUGGACAGUUCCUGACGCUGAGGCACGAAGGCCAGGGGAGCAAACGGG
rnacentral:rRNA from 1 species